AUUUUAUUUAUUUUUAUGUGGCGCUAAGGAUUGAACCCAGGGCCUUACACACGCUAGCAAGUGGUCUACCACUGAGCCGCAACCCCAGCCUUGAAAAUCAGCUUUUCUUGAUGCAUCUAAUUUAUGUUAAAGUCCCGUAGAUAUGAAUGUUGUAGCUGACGCCGAUGUAGAGGACACUUCAUUUUUUUUUUUUCCUACUUUUUGCGCUUUCCUGCCUUCACUGCCAUUGUCUUAGUAAAUUCCUCACCAUUGCUUGUUUCGACAAUUGCGUUAGGCUUUAAGUUGGUAUUUCUUUAUUUUUUUAAUUGAUUAAAAAAAAUGACAGCGGAAUGCAUUACAAUUCUUAUUACACACACACACACAUACACACACAUAUAUAUAUGUUGGUAUUUCUUGUCCUUGCCUCUCCCCCUGGUUCCAUCCUCCCAUAUUUCUCAGGUCCUUUUGGGUGUGCAAGGUGGAUCAUCAUUUCAGUAAUACCUAUGAUUCAUUGAGCCCUAACUACAUGGCAGGCAGUGUGCGAGGUGUUUGCACGUGUUAUGGUGGGCAGAGGAGAGUGAGACUUAGGCUUGUUGACUUUGGGGCAGUCUACCUGUAUUCUAGUCUGCUCACUUGCUCAUUGUGUAGUUUUGAAGAUGUCAUUUUAAUCUUCUCUGCCUUAAUUUCUUUACCUGUACAGGGGGAAUCGCAGCAGUGUUUACCUCAUGAGGCCAUUGUGAGGACUGAAGUAAGAUAAUGAGUGUCAAGUGCUUAGCUAUUUAUUUUGAGAUCUAACUCACAUACUAUACAACUCAGCCUUUAAAAGUGAACAGUUUAGAGUAUUCUGGUACCCCAGGGUUCAAUCCCCAGUACAAUAAAUAAAUAAGUGGUGGAAGCCACUUAUGUACGUGUGUGUGGUACUGGGGAUAGAAUUUAGGGGUGCUCUACCACUGAGUUACAUCCCCAUCCCUUUUUAUUUUUUAUUUUAAGGCAUUAUCUCACUAAGUAGUUGAGGCUGGCAUUGAACUUUCUGCCUCAGUCUCCUAAUUAACUG
rnacentral:lncRNA from 1 species